UUCCUAUUUGAAAAAAAAAUAAUAGGUAGGCCCUGCCCCAUGAAAUUUAAAUGGCCGCUCUUGUGCUAAGGUAGCAAAAUCAAUUGCCAUUUAAUUAAUGGCUGGUAUGAAUGGGUUCACAAAAAGAUAACUGUCUCACUUUCUUUUUCAAAAACUAACCUUCAAGUGAAAAGGCUUGAAUCACUAUAAAAGACAAAAAGACCCUGUCGCGCUUAAAAAUAAAAUUUUUUUAAAAAAAAAAUAUUUUUUUUAGUUGGGACGACUUCUGAUUAACUUUAUCACCAGAAAAAAUUUUUUGAGUUUAGGCUCUCCCUUUUGACCCGAUUAAGAUCAAAUGAAUUAGCAACCGCAGGGAUAACAGACUAAUUUUCUUACUAGAGCCCAUAUCGACUAAGAAGGUUGGCACCUCGAUGUUGGCUUAGGGGAGCAGCUAGAUGCAGCAAUCUGGCUUUGGAGGUUUGUUCAACCUAUAAAUCCCU
rnacentral:rRNA from 1 species